rnacentral:rRNA from 1 species
UACGUAGGGGGGCAAGCGUUGUCCGGAUUUAUUGGGCGUAAAGAGCGUGUAGGCGGCCGUACAGGUCAGCUGUGAAAACUCGAGGCUCAACCUCGAGACGUCGGUUGAAACCGUACGGCUAGAGUCCGGAAGAGGAGAGUGGAAUUCCCGGUCGUAGCGGUGAAAUGCGCAGAUAUCGGGAAGAACACCCGUGGCGAAGGCGGCUCUCUGGGACGGUACUGACGCUGAGACGCGAAAGCGUGGGGAGCGAACAGG